UUUCAGGAUUUUUAAAGUGCUCUCAUUCCCUUAGUUCUGCUCGGAUCCUGUUAUAACCCGGUGUUUUCGUAAUCUAGGUGACCCAAAUAAGACGCUGGUAUACUUAGUUUGAUUUCGACAAAAAUCAAUUUUUGGUGAAAAAAUUCGAUACGGGGGGGUAUACCCGAAAAAUGAAAAAACCCAAACUUUGAAGGUCGAUAUCUCGGCUUCUAUGGGAGCUAUCGGGAAAAUUUUAACGGUUUUGUCUUAGUUUCGUCGUUGUGAAUCCAACGAGACCACCCGCAAGGUCGUAGCUAUUCUAAUAGCUGAGAUAUGGCAUUUUUGAUGCCCAUUUUUGGCCUCAAAAACGGACGUCGAAAACGACUUUUUCAGGAUUUUCAAAGUGCUCUCAUUCCCUUAGUUCUGCUCGGAUUUUGUUAUAACCCGAUGUUUUCGUAAUCUAGGUGACCCAAAUAAGACGCUGGUAUACUUAGUUUGAUUUCGACAAAAAUCAAUUUUUGGUGAAAAAAUUCGAUACGGGGGGGUAUACCCGAAAAAUGAAAAAACCCAAACUUUGAAGGUCGAUAUCUCGGCUUCUAUGGGAGCUAUCGGGAAAAUUUUAACGGUUUUGUCUUAGUUUCGUCGUUGUGAAUCCAACGAGACCACCCGCAAGGUCGUAGCUUUUCUAAUAGCUGAGAUAUGGCAUUUUUGAUGCCCAUUUUUGGCCUCAAAAACGGACGUCGAAAACGACUUUUUCAGGAUUUUCAAAGUGCUCUCAUUCCCUUAGUUCUGCUCGGAUCCUGUUAUAACCCGAUGUUUUCGUAAUCUAGGUGACCCAAAUAAGACGCUGGUAUACUUAGUUUGAUUUCGACAAAAAUCAAUUUUUGGUGAAAAAAUUCGAUACGGGAAGGUAUACCCGAAAAAUGAAAAAACCCAAACUUUGAAGGUCGAUAUCUCGGCUUCUAUGGGAGCUAUCGGGAAAAUUUUAACGGUUUUGUCUUAGUUUCGUCGUUGUGAAUCCAACGAAACCACCCGCAAGGUCCUAGCUUUUCUAGUAGCUGAGAUAUGGCAUUUUUGAUGCCCAUUUUUGGCCUCAAAAACGGACGUCGAAAACGACUUUUUCAGGAUUUUCAAAGUGCUCUCAUUCCCUUAGUUCUGCUCGGAUCCUGUUAUAACCCGGUGUUUCCGUAAUCUAGGUGACCCAAAUAAGACGCUGGUAUACUUAGUUUGAUUUCGACAAAAAUCAAUUUUUGGUGAAAAAAUUCGAUACGGGGGGGUAUACCCCAAAAAUGAAAAAACCCAAACUUUGAAGGUCGAUAUCUCGGCUUCUAUGGGAGCUAUCGGGAAAAUUUUAACGGUUUUGUCUUAGUUUCGUCGUUGUGAAUCCAACGAAACCACCCGCAAGGUCGUAGCUCUUACGAUAGCCGAGAUAUGGCAUUUUUGAUGUCCAUUUUUGGCCUCAAAAACGGACGUCGAAAACGACUUUUUCAGGAUUUUCAAAGUGCUCUCAUUCCCUUAGUUCUGCUCGGAUCCUGUUAUAACCCGGUGUUUUCGUAAUCUAGGUGACCCAAAUAAGACGCUGGUAUACUUAGUUUGAUUUCGACAAAAAUCAAUUUUUGGUGAAAAAAUUCGAUACGGGGGGGUAUACCCGAAAAAUGAAAAAACCCAAACUUUGAAGGUCGAUAUCUCGGCUUCUAUGGGAGCUAUCGGGAAAAUUUUAACGGUUUUGUCUUAGUUUCAUCGUUGUGAAUCCAACGAGACCACCCGCAAGGUCCUAGCUUUUCUAAUAGCUAAGAUAUGGCAUUUUUGAUGCCCAUUUUUGGCCUCAAAAACGGACGUCGAAAACGACUUUUUCAGGAUUUUCAAAGUGCUCUCAUUCCCUUAGUUCUGCUCGGAUCCUGUUAUAACCCGGUGUUUCCGUAAUCUAGGUGACCCAAAUAAGACGCUGGUAUACUUAGUUUGAUUUCGACAAAAAUCAAUUUUUGGUGAAAAAAUUCGAUACGGGGGGGUAUACCCGAAAAAUG